rnacentral:rRNA from 1 species
UAAUCAUUUUAAAAAGUGUUUUGAAAACAUUUAUAAGAAAAAUUUCUGAUGAUUUAUCUACCUUAUAAUUUAAAUAAAAUUUUAGUUUUGUAAACUAAUCAUGUCUACGACUGGGGUAUGAGUGGCUAUCAUAUUCCUCACAAAUUUAGAGUAAUGAUGUAAUCUAGGUGUACAAAUAUUUAAUAAUAAAAAUUAUUAGUUGAAAUACAAGUCUURAUACCUUUUGCAUCAUGUAUAAAUGAUCUGUUCUAAUAAUUUAUCUCACGAACUACUUAGAAUAAAAAUUAUAGUAUUAAAAUUGUUAUAGCAAUUUAAUGAAUAUAAUUUUUGGGAUGAUAUGUUAACAUAAAAUAGAUUCUUGUUAAAUUUAAGUUAGAUUUAAUCUAAUUCUAAGAAAAUUAAAAUGCUUUAAAAGAUAAGUUUUAAAGUAGUAGUAAAAUUAAAAUAGUAUCAGUACUUAAUAAAAAUAUUAAUGUUUAUAAGAGUAUGUUAAAAUUCUCAUUAAUCUUAAUUUAGAUAAUUUACUGUACUAAAUUUAAUAGAAAAUAAUAAUAUAUAUCUGUAUAAUAUAUUUAUAUUAGUAGUUAAUGUGUAAUUAAUUAUACAAUUAAGCAAUUUUAUUAUCAAAAUAAAAAAUAGGAUAAAAUAACUCUACAUAAAUUAUUUAGCCUGUUUAUCAAAAACAUUGUAAAUAAUAUUUAUAUCACCUGCUCAAUGAAUAGUUUAAAUAGCCGCGUUAGUGCUAAGGUAGCAUAGUAAUUAGUUUUUUAAUUGAGAAAUAGAAUGAAUGGUAUCACUAAGAUAUCUUUUUUAGGACAUAUUUUGAAAUUUUAGUUUAAGUGAAAAUACUUAAGAACUUUUUUUAGACGAGAAGACCCUAUGAAGCUGGUAGAUAUUAAAUAUAAUUAUUUAUCUUAGUAAAAAUCUAUUUUUUGGGGUAAAAAUUAAAAUUAUUAUUUAAAUAUAUAUAUAUAAAAUGAGCCUCUUGGAAUAAUAAAGAAGCUCCUCUAGGGAUAACAGCAUUAUACCUAUAAGAGUUCUUAUCAGAAUAGGUGUUUGUGACCUCGAUGUUGAAUUAAAUACUCAUAUUUGUGCAGGAGCUAAUAUGAGAUGGUCUGUUCGACCUUAAAAAUUUACAUGAUUUGAGUUAAAAUCGACGYAAGUCAGAUUGGUUUCUAUCUAAAAAUUAAAUAACUAUUAUUUAGUACGAAAGGAAUAAUAAUAGGUU